rnacentral:rRNA from 1 species
GUAGUCCACGCCCUAAACGAUGUCUACUAGUUGUCGGGUUUUAAUUAACUUGGUAACGCAGCUAACGCGUGAAGUAGACCGCCUGGGGAGUACGGUCGCAAGAUUAAAACUCAAAGGAAUUGACGGGGACCCGCACAAGCGGUGGAUGAUGUGGAUUAAUUCGAUGCAACGCGAAAAACCUUACCUACCCUUGACAUGGCAGAGAUCCCGGAGAGAUUCGGGAGUGCUCGAAAGAGAAUCUGCACACAGGUGCUGCAUGGCUGUCGUCAGCUCGUGUCGUGAGAUGUUGGGUUAAGUCCCGCAACGAGCGCAACCCUUGUCAUUAGUUGCUACGAAAGAGCACUCUAAUGAGACUGCCGGUGACAAACCGGAG